rnacentral:rRNA from 1 species
CAGUCGACGGCAGCGCGAGAGAGCUUGCUCUCUUGGCGGCGAGUGGCGGACGGGUGAGUAAUAUAUCGGAACGUGCCCAGUAGCGGGGGAUAACUACUCGAAAGAGUGGCUAAUACCGCAUACGCCCUACGGGGGAAAGGGGGGGAUCGCAAGACCUCUCACUAUUGGAGCGGCCGAUAUCGGAUUAGCUAGUUGGUGGGGUAAAGGCUCACCAAGGCAACGAUCCGUAGCUGGUUUGAGAGGACGACCAGCCACACUGGGACUGAGACACGGCCCAGACUCCUACGGGAGGCAGCAGUGGGGAAUUUUGGACAAUGGGGGAAACCCUGAUCCAGCCAUCCCGCGUGUAUGAUGAAGGCCUUCGGGUUGUAAAGUACUUUUGGCAGAGAAGAAAAGGUACCUCCUAAUACGAGGUACUGCUGACGGUAUCUGCAGAAUAAGCACCGGCUAACUACGUGCCAGCAGCCGCGGUAAUACGUAGGGUGCAAGCGUUAAUCGGAAUUACUGGGCGUAAAGCGUGUGUAGGCGGUUCGGAAAGAAAGAUGUGAAAUCCCAGGGCUCAACCUUGGAACUGCAUUUUUAACUGCCGAGCUAGAGUAUGUCAGAGGGGGGUAGAAUUCCACGUGUAGC